UUUUUGUUAAAUUAGUAAGUUGGGUUCAUUGUUUUUCUAACCUCACCGUAUUUGUUUUUUCCUUUUUUCGAUAUAUUACCUUUUUGCGUCUCACAUUCUCAACGCACACCUGUUUUUUUCUUCGGCAUAAUUAGCAGAGCAACAUCGCUUGGAAGCUAACAUGUCUGCUGGCGGCAGACGCCGUGCUGGCGACGCUCAGGAACAAAGCACCCAAGAUGAAAUUCGCCACAGCGGCUGCAUCUGAGUUUGGUUCAGGCAGGCCUUUAUGUGCUAGAUCGGAGAUCGCGAGAGAGCUGCAAUCAGGGAAGUGUCACGGAUGCAGGUGAUAUGUGCGUCCCCCACCGCCACCACCGUAACCGCCACCACCAAAGCAAAGGCCGCUUUUGAGUUCCUUUUGCCCCAGACAGACGGCUUCCACACUGCGAUAACACAGCUGACGAGAUCCUCCAGUGGCACGGUGAAAUAAAGGAUGACAGCUUCUGGCCUCGGUGGACAGUGCCCCCCCCGGCCCCCCGACGGGUGGUUUGGCAACAGGGCACUAGAACCGCCCCCACCUCAUUUAAUCCCUUAAAGUGUGGGUCCAACGAACAUAUUAAAAAAAAU
ensembl:lncRNA